UACGUAGGGUGCGAGCGUUAAUCGGAAUUACUGGGCGUAAAGCGUGCGCAGGCGGUUUUGUAAGACAGUUGUGAAAUCCCCGGGCUCAACCUGGGAACUGCAUCGUGUGACUGUAUAGCUAGAGUACGGUAGAGGGGAUGGAAUUCCGCGUGUAGCAGUGAAAUGCGUAGAUAUGCGGAGGAACACCGAUGGCGAAGGCAAUCCCCUGGACCUGUACUGACGCUCAUGCACGAAAGCGUGGGGAGCAAACAGG
rnacentral:rRNA from 1 species